rnacentral:rRNA from 1 species
GACAGCAGCAGCCGCGGUAACACAGAGGGUGCGAGCGUUAAUCGGAUUUACUGGGCGUAAAGCGUGCGUAGGCGGCUUUUUAAGUCGGAUGUGAAAUCCCUGAGCUUAACUUAGGAAUUGCAUUCGAUACUGGGAAGCUAGAGUAUGGGAGAGGAUGGUAGAAUUCCAGGUGUAGCGGUGAAAUGCGUAGAGAUCUGGAGGAAUACCGAUGGCGAAGGCAGCCAUCUGGCCUAAUACUGACGCUGAGGUACGAAAGCAUGGGGAGCAAACAGGAUUAGAUACCCCUGUAGUCCCUGUCUCUUAUAC